AGUGAACGCUGGCGGUAGGCCUAACACAUGCAAGUCGAACGGCAGCACAGUAAGAGCUUGCUCUUACGGGUGGCGAGUGGCGGACGGGUGAGGAAUACAUCGGAAUCUACUUUUUCGUGGGGGAUAACGUAGGGAAACUUACGCUAAUACCGCAUACGACCUACGGGUGAAAGCAGGGGAUCUUCGGACCUUGCGCGAUUGAAUGAGCCGAUGUCGGAUUAGCUAGUUGGCGGGGUAAAGGCCCACCAAGGCGACGAUCCGUAGCUGGUCUGAGAGGAUGACCACCAAAAUGGGAAGUAGAACAGGGUCAAGACCCCAAGGGGGGGAGGAGGGGGGAAUUAUGGGAAAAGGGGGGCAGGCCGAACCCGCCAAUCCGGGGGGGGGAAAAAGGGCUUUGGGUUUGAAAACCCUUUUUGUGGAGAAAAAAAAGCGGGAGAUUAAAACCCCGCUGUUGGGACGGUACCAAAAAAAAAAGCACCGGCUAACUUCGUG
rnacentral:rRNA from 1 species